ACACACAGCAGCUCAGGGAAGGGAAAGGGCUCUCUCCGCUUUACGGCUGCUGAAAACCCUCCCUCCCCAGCCAGCUCAGUGCAGCCGCGCCGCGCCGCGCCCGGGCUCGCUCCUCUCCAAGGUAAGUACAGUGUAUUCCAGUUAUUUACUGAUGGACAGGAUGUUAAUUCUUAAAGUAUCUGAAGAACAGGCACCCAACAACAUCCCUGAAUAAUGUAUGUGCUUUCUUUGUAAGCUUGCUUCUGUUUUGUAACCUUUAAAACAUGGAUUUUAUGACUGACAUCAUUAAAAUUUAUACUCCCUCUAGAAUGUGAUGUUCAUUAUUAUUACUCCACUGUG
rnacentral:lncRNA from 1 species